CGGUGGAGCUGAGAGUUGAAUCUAGUGGAAAUGAAGUUAAAGGAUAAUAGAGAGGAGUGUAAUGAUGAAAAAGAAAAGCGGAGAUAUAAUUAGGUGAAUUAAGCAGUUGUGUUGAGUGAUCUCGUUGAUUUGUAUAUACUGUUUAAUGUUUUCAAUUUGCUAGAAAAAGCGUUGCAUAUAUAUAUAAACUCCAGAAUGGAUGAGAACGGAUAGUGCAGGUAAGCAGUAUAGUUCUGCAAAUAGGUGAAAAUGUAAGCAAGCUAAAUGUGGGUCAUUUUGUUUAAUUUGCAUAAUCUGUUAUGGAGCUUGAAAUGACUUGAAAGUGGCUGGAAGAAACAUGCAGGAUGGAAAUAAGAGGAAAUUACAGGUAAGUGAUUUGAGUUGAGGAAAACACCCACUGGGUGAAUGAGUUUCUGCACUGUAAUGCAAAUUCUGGUUGCUUGAGGUGCUGACUUGAGCUUACUGAGUGUCUUAUGCUCGUCCUAUUAAUCUAAUGUUAUUUUUCCAGAUCAAAUCAAACAGGAAGAUGAUCCCGAUCCAGUUAACGUUGUCUCGGAAGCUUAGAGAAAAAGAAAACUAAAGUUGUGUAGGAGUGGGAUGUGAUAGAGG
rnacentral:lncRNA from 1 species